CGGCAGGCUAAGACUAUUCUCAAUUUUUUGUGACAAUAUUCUCAAGAAAGUGAGGACUGAAAAAUCUAUUCAGUUUUAAUUUUCCAUUGAUAAAGUUCCCAGUUGCAACUCUCAUCACAGGGAUACAUGUACUUAUAAAAUCAAAUAUGAUUGAUAUAAAAGCUGUGUGAAGUUUGUUUCCAGAUCCCACAUUUUGAUAUAUCUGUAAAAUUCAUGAAUAAAUAGCUUUAAACUACAAAAAGCAAUAUUUAAAAAAAAAAAAAAAAAAAAAAA
rnacentral:lncRNA from 1 species